GACGAACGCUGGCGGCGUGCUUAACACAUGCAAGUCGAACGGAAAGGCCCUGCUUUUGUGGGGUGCUCGAGUGGCGAACGGGUGAGUAACACGUGAGUAACCUGCCCUUGACUUUGGGAUAACUUCAGGAAACUGGGGCUAAUACCGGAUAGGAGCUCCUGCUGCAUGGUGGGGGUUGGAAAGUUUCGGCGGUUGGGGAUGGACUCGCGGCUUAUCAGCUUGUUGGUGGGGUAGUGGCUUACCAAGGCUUUGACGGGUAGCCGGCCUGAGAGGGUGACCGGCCACAUUGGGACUGAGAUACGGCCCAGACUCCUACGGGAGGCAGAAGUGGGGAAUAUUGCACAAUGGGCGGAAGCCUGAUGCAGCAACGCCGCGUGCGGGAUGACGGCCUUCGGGUUGUAAACCGCUUUCGCCUGUGACGAAGCGUGAGUGACGGUAAUAGGUAAAGAAGCACCGGCUAACUACGUG
rnacentral:rRNA from 1 species